GGCGAACGGGUGAGUAGCGCAUCNGAACGUGCCCAGUAGUGGGGGAUAGCUCGGCGAAAGCANGGAUUAAUACCGCAUACNACCCAUGGGUGAAAGCGGGGGACCGCAAGGCCUCGCGCUAUUGGAGCGGCCGAUGCCCGAUUAGCUAGUUGGUGAGGUAAAGGCUCACCAAGGCAACGAUCGGUAGCUGGUCUGAGAGGACGACCAGCCACACUGGGACUGAGACACGGCCCAGACUCCUACGGGAGGCAGCAGUGGGGAAUUUUGGACAAUGGGGGAAACCCUGAUCCAGCCAUGCCGCGUGCGGGAAGAAGGCCUUCGGGUUGUAAACCGCUUUUGGCAGGAACGAAACGGCGCGCGCUA
rnacentral:rRNA from 1 species